CCGCAAUGCGGUAAUUUGCUGUGACAUUUGCUAAAGCAUUUUGUAUUUUAACCAAAAGUAAUCUUGAGAGCAAAAUAUAUUCGAACUGCUUGCAUUUAAUGAAAACCCUUUUCUGAUUCUGUUAAUUCGAUGUAAUAGUAUAUUAUCAGUUUUCUACACAUCCAUCGAGAGAGACGCGGUUUGGCCGCGCGGAUAACAGGGUGCCAUUUCGUUUUCGUGUACAAAGCUCGAAUCCGAAAAGAGAAUGCUGUCUCGAUCACUUUAGGGAUGUCAUUGUCAUGGCUGAUGGGAGGCACUGAAAGGAGACACUUUGAAAAUACUUUUAUCUAGCACAGACACAAAAUCUUACUUUGAAAGAGCAAGUGAAUCAACAGGCCUGGGUGAUGAAAAUAUUCUUUUAGUUCGCUGUUGAUAGAAAUAGAGUUGAAAGUUACUUAGAAGUGAGGGAACAUUUCUUGUCUCCACUUACUAACAAAACCUGAUCAUUAUGUGAUUGGAAACUUCAUAAACUAAUUGGGUGAUCAUGAAUCGGUGUGUGAUAAUGAUCCAUGAAACCAAACAGUCUAUAAGAAUGUGUUAUCUUUUUAUCAAGUCUUAUAGAGAUAGAUCAACUAAAAUAUGCCUUUAGAAAUAAGUAAAGAUGAAUUAGAACUGAAAGUAAAUCUUCACAAGGAAGAAAAUAUGAUGAUUCCAAAAGGUAUCUCAUAAAAGACAAAUACUUUAAACUUGUUCUUUGAAUGUAUGGAUGAAACCUAACAAUCUCUCCAAAUGUGUGUGUGUGUGUUUAAUCGAGGAUUAUAGAAAUAGGCAAACUGAAAUAUACCUUUAGAAAUAAGUAAAGAUGAAUUAGAACUGAAAGUAAAACUUCACAAGGAAGAAAAUAUGAUGAUUCCAAAAGGUAUCUCAUAAAAGACAAAUACUUUAAACUUGUUCUUUGAAUGUAUGGAUGAAACCUAACAAUCUCUCCAAAUGUGUGUGUGUUUUUUUUAAUCGAGGAUUAUAGAAAUAGGCAAGCUGAAAUAUACCUUUAGAAAUAAGUAAAGAUGAAUUAGAAUUGAGAGAAUUUCUUUUAAGUCAUGAAAAACAAUGUGGUGAUUCCAAAAGAUCUCAUAAAAGACAGACAAAUACUUUGAAUGUGUGGAUGAAACCAAACAAUCUAUCCAAAUGUGUGUGUGUGUGUUUUUAUCGAGGAUUAUAGAAAUAGGCAAACUGAAACAUGCCAUUAGAAAUAAGUAAAAGGUGACUUAGAAAUGAAAGAAUUUCUUUUAAGUCAUGAAAAACAAUGUGGUGAUUCCAAAAGAUCUCAUAAAAGACAAAUACUUUGAAUGUGUGGAUGAAACCAAACAAUCUAUCCAAAUGUGUGUGUGUGUUUUUAUCGAGGAUUAUAGAAAUAGGCAAACUGAAACAUGCCAUUAGAAAUAAGUAAAAGGUGACUUAGAAUUGAAAGAAUAUCUUUUAAGUCAUGAAAAACAAUGUGGUGAUUCCAAAAGAUCUCAUAAAAGACAGACAAAUACUUUGAAUGUGUGGAUGAAACCAAACAAUCUAUCCAAAUGUGUGUGUGUGUGUUUUUAUCGAGGAUUAUAGAAAUAGGCAAACUGAAACAUGCCAUUAGAAAUAAGUAAAAGGUGACUUAGAAAUGAAAGAAUUUCUUUUAAGUCAUGAAAAACAAUGUGGUGAUUCCAAAAGAUCUCAUAAAAGACAAAUACUUUGAAUGUGUGGAUGAAACCAAACAAUCUAUCCAAAUGUGUGUGUGUUUUUAUCGAGGAUUAUAGAAAUAGGCAAACUGAAACAUGCCAUUAGAAAUAAGUAAAAGGUGACUUAGAAUUGAAAGAAUAUCUUUUAAGUCAUGAAAAACAAUGUUGUGAUUCCAAAAGGAUCUCAUAGAAGGCUGACAUAUACUACUUUAAAGUAGUUCUUUCAAAGCAUGGAUGGGACAAGCUCCACCAAAUUUAAAGUACAGCCAACAGUUAUUACAUGAUUUUCUGAAAAAACAGAGUUGUUUGUAAGUGUCAAGGCAUACACAUCGUCAUAAUUUAGAUUCUGAAUUUGGUGUUGAGUUCCAAAUGAAUUAAUGUUCUUGGGUGCUGAGAAUGCUCUGGAAACCACCAGUUUGUGAUUAUGAAUGGCAUGAUUGAAACUUUGCCAUUUUAUAUGUCACCUUUGAAUUUCCAAUGAUUUAAUUAAAUAUGUAUAUGUUAAAUUAUAUAAAUCAAUCACUUUUAAAUUAUUGUAAUAUGAAUUUUGUUUUUUAGAUAAAGUUUCAGAAGUGUU